GAUGAACGCUAGCGGCAGGCCUAAUACAUGCAAGUCAAGGGGAUAGCAAUAUCACCGGCGGACGGGUGCGUAACGCGUACACAACGUGCCCAAGGGCGGAGGAAAGCGGCGGGAAACUGCCGGUAAUACUCCAUGGUGUUGUUGAGUGGCAUCACUUAACAACUAAAGUACAAGCGCCCUUGGAUCGGUGUGCGUUCGAUUAGCUAGUUGGCGGGGUAACGGCCCACCAAGGCUCCGAUCGAGUAGGGGGUGUGAGAGCAUCGACCCCCCACACGGGUACUGAGACACGGACCCGACUCCUACGGGAGGCAGCAGUAAGGAAUAUUAGAAAUGGACGAAAGUCUGAUCUAGCAACACCGCGUGUGCGAAGAAGGCCUUCGGGUCGUAAAGCACUUUUUGGAAGGAAUAGGAAGGAAUGUACUUCCAGAAUAAGUCUCGGCUAACUACGUG
rnacentral:rRNA from 1 species